CCUACGUGCGGCAGCAGUGGGGAAUAUUGGGCAAUGGGCGCAAGCCUGACCCAGCAACGCCGCGUGAAGGAAGAAGGCUUUCGGGUUGUAAACUUCUUUUCUCAGGGACGAAGCAAGUGACGGUACCUGAGGACUAAGCCACGGCUAACUACGUGCCAGCAGCCGCGGUAAGACGUCGGUGGCAAGCGUUAUCCGGAUUUACUGGGUGUAAAGGGCGUGUAGGCGGGGACGCAAGUCAGAUGUGAAAGCCACGGGCGCAACCUGUGGCCUGCAUUUGAAACUGUGUUUCUUGAGUACUGGAGAGGCAGACGGAAUUCUUAGUGUAGCGGUGACAUGCGUAGAUAUGAGGAGGAACACCAGUGGCGAAGGCGGUCUGCUGGACAGCAACUGACGCUGAGGCGCGAAAGCGUGGGGAGCAAACAGGAUUAGAUACCCGAGUAGUC
rnacentral:rRNA from 1 species